rnacentral:rRNA from 1 species
GAUGAACGCUGGCAGCGUGCCUAAUACAUGCAAGUCGAGCGAACAGACGAGGAGCUUGCUCCUCUGACGUUAGCGGCGGACGGGUGAGUAACACGUGGAUAACCUACCUAUAAGACUGGGAUAACUUCGGGAAACCGGAGCUAAUACCGGAUAAUAUAUUGAACCUCAUGGUUCAAUAGUGAAAGACGGUUUUGCUGUCACUUAUAGAUGGAUCCGCGCCGCAUUAGCUAGUUGGUAAGGUAACGGCUUACCAAGGCAACGAUGCGUAGCCGACCUGAGAGGGUGAUCGGCCACACUGGAACUGAGACACGGUCCAGACUCCUACGGGAGGCAGCAGUCGGGAAUCUUCCGCGAUGGGCGAAAGCCUGACGGAGCAACGUCGCGUGAGUGAUGAAGGUCUUCGGAUCGUAAAACUCUGCUAUUAGGGAAGAACAAAUGUGUAAGUAACUAUGCACGUCUUGACGGUACCUAAUCAGAAAGCCACGGCUAACUACGUG